UUCCUGCUAUCCCUACAUGGGCCUUCAC
rnacentral:sRNA from 1 species